CUAAAUCAUAAAAAUUCAUAACACCAUAACAACCCGUUUGGUUGGAUGGAAUUGCCAUUCCAAUACGCCUCUAUUCCGCGCUCUACAGUAAAGCAGGCGUUUGGUUCACCGUUUAGGUGAUUCCACGGAAUUGCUAUUACAGUCUCAUUCCCUCAUCUCACCGUUUAGGUAUUCGUGUAAACAAGACGAAAAUUGCCUGCCUCUCUUCUUCCCAAAAUUCACUCCAGAUUUCUUCCUCCCCAAAUCAAGCAUCCAUUCACCCCUCAUCUGCAUCUCCUGUGAAAUCCAGAAGUACCAGCAAAGUACUGAACUCCUCAUCAAGAAACUGCCUUUCAAAAGGCUCGUUCGUGAAAUUGCCCAAGACUUUUUAAGUUAGCAGAUGAUUAUGACUUGUGCUGAUGGAUGCUCUAUGAUUGAUCGAAGAAUGGGACAAAGUUCUUUGUAGUUUGUGAACCUGGGACACAGCACAUGGAGGCUCUCUUGAAAGUUGUUUAUGAGCUCUAUACAGAUUAUGUUUUGAAGAACCCCUUCUAUGAGAUGGAGAUACCCAUACGAUUCGAACUCUUUGACAUCAACCUGACACAGGCAGUACAGAAGGAUCGUGUUGCGCUUUUAGGUCGAUAAGCUGUCCUAGAACCUUUUUCUUUCCAAAAUGUCACCAUCUCUUAUCUUCAUCUGAACACUUUUGAUGGAAGAUUGCUAUCAAGUUUGUAUAAAACUGUGUAUUGGGAUAUCAUCAAGCUCCUUUGUUUAGCUCAUAAGUGCUGAAUUAUUUAUAACAUAUGAUGAUUUCUGGAGUUGCUUCUCCCAAUUAACAUUUAUAAAAUUAAUGAAAAAAUCCUUUGAAUUA